GCAAACUAAGAAGAAUAUUACCAGUUACUGGAUAAUAGACUCUUAGGGGACCAAAGUAUCUAUCUAGGUAAGAGCUAGAAAGAAAACGGUCAAUCAAGACUCAACCCAAUGAGGGCAUAACUCAAGGGGAGCAAUUCCAUCCAGAAAAUACGCUGGAGAGGAAACUGAAAUAACAACCAUCCACGAGGAAACUUACUCAAUGGGGAAACGGAGAAAGGUUAAAUUCUUUCUGCUUAAAGGGCUGACAACUUACAAUUGAAGG
rnacentral:lncRNA from 1 species